GAUGAACGCUGGCGGCGUGCCUAAUACAUGCAAGUAGAACGCUGAAGGAGGAGCUUGCUCUUCUGGAUGAGUUGCGAACGGGUGAGUAACGCGUAGGUAACCUGCCUGGUAGCGGGGGAUAACUAUUGGAAACGAUAGCUAAUACCGCAUGACAACAGUUAUUGCAUGAUAACUGUUUAAAAGGGGCAGCUGCUCCACUACCAGAUGGACCUGCGUUGUAUUAGCUAGUUGGUGAGGUAACGGCUCACCAAGGCGACGAUACAUAGCCGACCUGAGAGGGUGAUCGGCCACACUGGGACUGAGACACGGCCCAGACUCCUACGGGAGGCAGCAGUAGGGAAUCUUCGGCAAUGGACGGAAGUCUGACCGAGCAACGCCGCGUGAGUGAAGAAGGUUUUCGGAUCGUAAAGCUCUGUUGUAAGAGAAGAACGAGUGUGAGAGUGGAAAGUUCACACUGUGACGGUAUCUUACCAGAAAGGGACGGCUAACUACGUG
rnacentral:rRNA from 1 species